rnacentral:tRNA from 1 species
GCAUUGGAGGUUCAGUGGUAGAAUCCUCACCUUUUAUGUGGGAAACCUGGAUUCGAUUCCCAGCCAAUGAA